ensembl:lncRNA
CAGAAUCUGAUUAGCACAAAAGAAUGGGCUGUUUGUCUACCAGCAGGGAGGUCGGCAGUGAUGACCAGACAUGGUGGGCUAGAUAAGCAUAUCCAGAUUUGCCCCUGACCAGACGGUAGAAAGGAUAACUAACCAAGAACGCACUAACACUGACCAAGAUCUCCGUGAGGGUAGAGGUGAAACAAACCCAGUACUUUCAAUGGUGCCCUUUUCCUAGCUCACAACCGGAAACCAGUUCCUUACCAUCUCCAAACCUCAGCAAUCUACCUGGUCCUCCAAGGGGAAUAAUUCUGACCUUGGGCUGAAGAGGAAGAUGGUUUGCCAGAAGGGAUCGGAGAAUGCACCUGUUGUGCAUGCGGGCCACACACUAACCAGCCUGGAAAGCUGCCUGCUCCUCCGCGCCCCGGCUAAUUCCCCAGAAAUCGCCCGCGCCGCCCGCCUCCCGAGGAAAGCGGCCAGGCGGCGCCGAGUCGCCCCUCGCCCCGGGAAAGCUUCGCGCAAGCCCCCGGCGCUGCUCCCACC